rnacentral:rRNA from 1 species
UGGGGAAUUUUGGACAAUGGGGGAAACCCUGAUCCAGCCAUCCCGCGUGUGCGAUGAAGGCCUUCGGGUUGUAAAGCACUUUUGGCAGGAAAGAAACGUCGCGGGUUAAUACCCCGCGAAACUGACGGUACCUGCAGAAUAAGCACCGGCUAACUACGUGCCAGCAGCCGCGGUAAUACGUAGGGUGCAAGCGUUAAUCGGAAUUACUGGGCGUAAAGCGUGCGCAGGCGGUUCGGAAAGAAAGAUGUGAAAUCCCAGAGCUUAACUUUGGAACUGCAUUUUUAACUACCGGGCUAGAGUGUGUCAGAGGGAGGUGGAAUUCCGCGUGUAGCAGUGAAAUGCGUAGAUAUGCGGAGGAACACCGAUGGCGAAGGCAGCCUCCUGGGAUAACACUGACGCUCAUGCACGAAAGCGUGGGGAGCAAACAGGAUUAGAUACCCUGGUAGUCCACGCCCUAAACGAUGUCAACUAGCUGUUGGGGCCUUCGGGCCUUGGUAGGCGCAGCUAACGCGUGAAGUUGACCGCCUGGGGAGUACGGUCGGCAAGAUUAAAACUCAAAGGAAUUG